AUUUCACAGCGUAGCCGAAUAAAGACGUUCCAGAUGACGUCACGUCGAUCAUUGAGUUCUGAGAUAAAAUCUUACAUGCUCCAGAAGUUCUAAGAGGACCUACCAUCUUGCACUGCAGGUAAAUGCAAAAUCUACACACGUGAGACAUGUGGGAUGGAGAAAUGUUAAGAUGAAUGAUUGAGGACAGUGGACAUGUAAAGCUUUGAUACGAAUUUUUCGGACAAAGUUAAGAAAAUCUAGUCAUUAAUAUGUGUACAAAGUGUAUACUGAAUUGAAAAACCUCUUCCGAGAGCUUAAAUAUGAUAUCGGAAAGUUCUUGCGUACAGUGCAGGCGUAGGUCGGACCGGUACUUACAUUGCUAUAGACACUGUCACAAAGGAGGGAGAGUCAGAAGGGACAGUAGAUAUAGAAGGAUGUUUGCUCAACAUGAGACAGAACAGACCCAACAUGGUCCAGACUGCGGGACAAUUCGAGUAUAUUCACCACGCCGUGGUCCACUCUCUAACGUUCAACUGCAAACAUGUGGCCGGUGAAAAGUUCCAGUCAUAUAUGAACACUAUUUCCAGGGAACAAAUAAAAAACAUAUUUCACAAAUUGCAAGAGACGAAAACGCAUGUGCCAUUGGAGGAUUCCGAGGCAGUGGAAAGAAACACAUACUUCACGGACAAAAACAGAAAAGGGUCCG